UACAGAGGUCUCAAGCGUUGUUCGGAUUCAUUGGGCGUAAAGGGUGCGUAGGUGGCGUGGUAAGUCGGGCGUGAAAUUUCGGAGCUUAACUCCGAAACUGCAUUCGAUACUGCCGUGCUUGAGGACUGGAGAGGAGACUGGAAUUUACGGUGUAGCAGUGAAAUGCGUAGAGAUCGUAAGGAAGACCAGUGGCGAAGGCGGGUCUCUGGGCAGUUCCUGACGCUGAGGCACGAAGGCCAGGGGAGCAAACGGG
rnacentral:rRNA from 1 species